ACGGUCAUGGGCCUCCCCUAGAUCCACUCAGCAUUCAAUCGAGUAGCUGGCGGCGGUGUGUAGUUAAACAUCGCCACCGGGGAGACAAAGGCGGCCGUGCGUGGUUGUCGUCCACCCGCUCCCUCGUUGUACCACAGUGGGCGGCCUUCAUAAUGUGGCUUAUACAGUACUCUCAAACAGCACUUGCCCCAACAGUCUGCGAAGGCUACACGGGGGUGGGGGGGGGGUGUAACAGGCGAUGUUUUGAUGGACGUGAGAGUUGAAAUAGAUUCAUGAAAUCGCGUGAGGAGCUCGCAGAACCCUUGGGAAGAUAUGGACACGGUUCCAUCGGGGAGUUCAUUGCUGCACUGUAUAGGGAUGGAUCGAUCCACGAUAAACUCACCGUGCUCGAUCCACGCUUCGAAUCGUGUGCUUAUAUUUUUUUUUUUAAUAUACCCAUUUAACAUUCACGCGUGCUCGCGUGAGACGUUGACGACCGCGGAGGAACGAACGACGCCUAUUCGCGUUGAGAUGUAAUUUAAAAAAAACCCACAAGAGACGUGUGUAUGUAUAUAAGGAAUCGAUCGAUUCGUCACUGAAAUCGAUACCGUGGAAUCGCGCGGGAGGCGGUUAAUCGCACUCCGUACAGUCCGAACGAAUUUUUCGACGCCUCGCCGCGGGCAAGCCGUCGACUCUGUUCGACUUCACGCACCCGGACUGGGCGCCGUCCGUGGCGCUGGGCCACGACGUUGAGCCGCAGAGCCAAUCGCAGCGCGCCGUCUCCCGAACAAUGGGGAAGAGCAAGCAGAACGUGAAGUUCUACGGGGAGGGAGCCGGGGGAGGCGGAGGGGGCGCAGGGGGUCUGGUGGAGGAG